AUAUUAAUUAAAUUCAAUAUUAAAAAUGUAUCAUUUUAAUACUUGGUCCUUUCGUACUAAAGUAUUAUAAUUUAUUAAAGAUAGAAACCAACCUGGCUUACGCCGGUCUGAACUCAGAUCAUGUAAGAAUUUAAAAGUCGAACAGACUUAAUAUUUAAGCGGCUACACCUAAAAAUAUAUCUUAAUCCAACAUCGAGGUCGCAAACUUUUUUAUCGAUAUGAACUCUCCAAAAAAAUUACGCUGUUAUCCCUAAAGUAACUUAAUCUUAUAAUCGCUAUUAACGGAUCAAUAAAUCAUAAAUUAAUGAUUUUUAAUAAUUAAAAGUUCAUUAAAUUUUAACAUCACCCCAACAAAAUACUUUAAACUAUAAAAAUAAAACCAAUCUAUAAAAUUUAAACAACAUAAAGUAUAAAGAUUUAUAGGGUCUUCUCGUCUUUUAAUUAAAUUUUAGCUUUUUGACUAAAAUAUAAAAUUCUAUUAUAAAUUUAUAUGAAACAGCUUAUACCUCG
rnacentral:rRNA from 1 species